CACGCCGUAAACGAUGAGUGCUAGGUGUUAGGGGGUUUCCGCCCCUUAGUGCUGGCGUUAACGCAUUAAGCACUCCGCCUGGGGAGUACGGCCGCAAGGCUGAAACUCAAAAGAAUUGACGGGGACCCGCACAAGCGGUGGAGCAUGUGGUUUAAUUCGAAGCAACGCGAAGAACCUUACCAGGUCUUGACAUCCCACUGACCGCUCUAGAGAUAGGGCUUUCCCUUCGGGGACAGUGGUGACAGGUGG
rnacentral:rRNA from 1 species